rnacentral:tRNA from 1 species
GACCUGCUAGCUCAAUUGGCAGAGCAUCGCACUUUUAAUGCGAGGGUUCUGGGUUCGAGUCCCAGGCGGGUCA